UUACGGGAGGCAGCAGUAGGGAAUAUUGGUCAAUGGGCGAGAGCCUGAACCAGCCAUGCCGCGUGCAGGAAGAAGGCCCUCUGGGUUGUAAACUGCUUUUGACAGGGGCCAAAAUACUCAUGCGUGAGGAAUUGAGAGUACCUGUAGAAUAAGCACCGGCUAACUCCGUGCCAGCAGCCGCGGUAAUACGGAGGGUGCAAGCGUUGUCCGGAUUUAUUGGGUUUAAAGGGUGCGUAGGUGGCUUUUUAAGUCAGUGGUGAAAGCCUGCAGCAUAACUGUAGGACUGCCAUUGAUACUGAGAAGCUUGAGUACUGAUGAGGUAGGCGGAAUUGAUAGUGUAGCGGUGAAAUGCAUAGAUAUUAUCAAGAACACCGAUUGCGAAGGCAGCUUACUAAGGAGUUACUGACACUGAGGCACGAAAGCGUGGGGAUCAAACAGGAUUAGAUACCCUGGUAGUCG
rnacentral:rRNA from 1 species